rnacentral:misc_RNA from 1 species
GUGAAGAACGCAGCGAAAUGCGAUAAGUAAUGUGAAUUGCAGAAUUCAGUGAAUCAUCGAAUCUUUGAACGCACAUUGCGCCCGGCAGCAAUCUGCCGGGCAUGCCUGUCCGAGCGUCAUUUCUUCCCUCGAGCGCGGCUAGCCCUACGGGGCCUGCCGUCGCCCGGUGUUGGGGCUCUACGGGUGGGGCUCGUCCCCCCCGCAGUCCCCGAAAUGUAGUGGCGGUCCAGCCGCGGCGCCCCCUGCGUAGUAGAUCCUACAUCUCGCAUCGGGUCCCGGCGAAGGCCAGCCGUCGAACCUUUUAUUUCAUGGUUUGACCUCGGAUCAGGUAGGGUUACCCGCUGAACUUAAGCAUAUCAAUAAGCGGAGGA